rnacentral:rRNA from 1 species
UUGAUCAUGGCUCAGGAUGAACGCUAGCGGCAGGCUUAAUACAUGCAAGUCGAGGGGCAGCAGUUUUGUAGCAAUACAGAAGCUGGCGACCGGCAAACGGGUGCGGAACACGUACGCAACCUUCCUCUAACUGGAAGAUAGCCCACCGAAAGGUGGAUUAAUAUUCCAUAGUAUAUUGAAAAGGCAUCUUUUUGAUAUUAAAGCUCCGGCGGUUAGAGAUGGGCGUGCGUCUGAUUAGGUAGUUGGCGGGGUAACGGCCCACCAAGCCUACGAUCAGUAGCUGAUGUGAGAGCAUGAUCAGCCACACGGGCACUGAGACACGGGCCCGACUCCUACGGGAGGCAGCAGUAAGGAAUAUUGGUCAAUGGACGCAAGUCUGAACCAGCCAUGCCGCGUGGAGGAUGAAGGCCCUCUGGGUUGUAAACUUCUUUUCUUUGGGGCGAAACCCCUGUUUCUACGGGGACUGACGGUACCAGAGGAAUAAGCACCGGCUAACUCCGUGCCAGCAGCCGCGGUAAUACGGAGGGUGCAAGCGUUAUCCGGAUUCACUGGGUUUAAAGGGAGCGUAGGUGGGCUUUUAAGUCAGUGGUGAAAUCUUUGGGCUUAACCCGAAAACUGCCAUUGAUACUAUUAGUCUUGAAUUCUCUGGAGGUAAGCGGA